AUUGAACGCUGGCGGCAUGCCUUACACAUGCAAGUCGAACGGUAACAGGUUAAGCUGACGAGUGGCGAACGGGUGAGUAAUGUAUCGGAACGUGCCCAGUCGUGGGGGAUAACUGCUCGAAAGAGCAGCUAAUACCGCAUACGACCUGAGGGUGAAAGCGGGGGAUCGCAAGACCUCGCGCGAUUGGAGCGGCCGAUAUCAGAUUAGGUAGUUGGUGAGGUAAAGGCUCACCAAUCCGACGACCUGUAGCUGGUCUGAGAGGACGACCAGCCACACUGGGACUGAGACACAGCCCAGACUCCUACGGGAGGCAGCAGUGGGGAAUUUUGGACAAUGGGCGCAAGCCUGAUCCAGCCAGGCCGCGUGCGGGAAGAAGGCCUUCGGGUUGUAAACCGCUUUUGUCAGGGAAGAAAAGGUUCUGGCUAAUACCUGGGACUCAUGACGGUACCUGAAGAAUAAGCACCGGCUAACUACGUG
rnacentral:rRNA from 1 species